rnacentral:rRNA from 1 species
GGUUAAGUUAGAAAGGGCGCACGGUGGAUGCCUUGGCACUAGGAGCCGAUGAAGGACGGGACGAACACCGAUAUGCUUCGGGGAGCUGUAAGCAAGCUUUGAUCCGGAGAUUUCCGAAUGGGGAAACCCACCACUCGUAAUGGAGUGGUAUCCAUAUCUGAAUACAUAGGAUAUGAGAAGGCAGACCCGGGGAACUGAAACAUCUAAGUACCCGGAGGAAGAGAAAGCAAAUGCGAUUCCCUGAGUAGCGGCGAGCGAAACGGGACCAGCCCAAACCAAGAGGCUUGCCUCUUGGGGUUGUAGGACACUCUGUACGGAGUUACAAAGGAACGAGGUAGAUGAAGAGGUCUGGAAAGGCCCGCCAUAGGAGGUAACAGCCCUGUAGUCAAAACUUCGUUCUCUCCUGAGUGGAUCCUGAGUACGGCGGAACACGUGAAAUUCCGUCGGAAUCCGGGAGGACCAUCUCCCAAGGCUAAAUACUCCCUAGUGACCGAUAGUGAACCAGUACCGUGAGGGAAAGGUGAAAAGCACCCCGGAAGGGGAGUGAAAGAGAUCCUGAAACCGUGUGCCUACAAGUAGUCAGAGCCCGUUAACGGGUGAUGGCGUGCCUUUUGUAGAAUGAACCGGCGAGUUACGAUCCCGUGCAAGGUUAAGCAGAAGAUGCGGAGCCGCAGCGAAAGCGAGUCUGAAUAGGGCGAAUUGAGUACGUGGUCGUAGACCCGAAACCAGGUGAUCUACCCAUGUCCAGGGUGAAGUUCAGGUAACACUGAAUGGAGGCCCGAACCCACGCACGUUGAAAAGUGCGGGGAUGAGGUGUGGGUAGGGGUGAAAUGCCAAUCGAACCUGGAGAUAGCUGGUUCUCUCCGAAAUAGCUUUAGGGCUAGCCUCAAGGUAAGAGUCUCGGAGGUAGAGCACUGAUUGGACUAGGGGCCCCUACCGGGUUACCGAAUUCAGUCAAACUCCGAAUGCCGAUGACUUAUCCUUGGGAGUCAGACUGCGAGUGAUAAGAUCCGUAGUCGAAAGGGAAACAGCCCAGACCGCCAGCUAAGGUCCCAAAGUAUACGUUAAGUGGAAAAGGAUGUGGAGUUGCUUAGACAACCAGGAUGUUGGCUUAGAAGCAGCCACCAUUUAAAGAGUGCGUAAUAGCUCACUGGUCGAGUGACUCUGCGCCGAAAAUGUACCGGGGCUAAACGUAUCACCGAAGCUGCGGACUGUUCUUCGAACAGUGGUAGGAGAGCGUUCUAAGGGCUGUGAAGCAAGACCGGAAGGACUUGUGGAGCGCUUAGAAGUGAGAAUGCCGGUAUGAGUAGCGAAAGAGGGGUGAGAAUCCCCUCCACCGAAUGCCUAAGGUUUCCUGAGGAAGGCUCGUCCGCUCAGGGUUAGUCGGGACCUAAGCCGAGGCCGAAAGGCGUAGGCGAUGGAUAACAGGUUGAUAUUCCUGUACCACCUCCUCACCAUUUGAGCAAUGGGGGACGCAGGAGGAUAGGGUAAGCGCGGUAUUGGAUAUCCGCGUCCAAGCAGUUAGGCUGGGAAAUAGGCAAAUCCGUUUCCCGUGAAGGCUGAGCUGUGAUGGCGAGCGAAUUAUAGUAGCGAAGUUCCUGAUUCCACACUGCCAAGAAAAGCCUCUAGCGAGGUGAGAGGUGCCCGUACCGCAAACCGACACAGGUAGGCGAGGAGAGAAUCCUAAGGUGAUCGAGAGAACUCUCGUUAAGGAACUCGGCAAAAUGACCCCGUAACUUCGGGAGAAGGGGUGCUCUGUUAGGGUGCAAGCCCGAGAGAGCCGCAGUGAAUAGGCCCAGGCGACUGUUUAGCAAAAACACAGGUCUCUGCGAAGCCGUAAGGCGAAGUAUAGGGGCUGACGCCUGCCCGGUGCUGGAAGGUUAAGAGGAGCGCUUAGCGUAAGCGAAGGUGCGAAUUGAAGCCCCAGUAAACGGCGGCCGUAACUAUAACGGUCCUAAGGUAGCGAAAUUCCUUGUCGGGUAAGUUCCGACCCGCACGAAAGGCGCAACGAUCUGGGCACUGUCUCAACGAGAGACUCGGUGAAAUUAUAGUACCUGUGAAGAUGCAGGUUACCCGCGACAGGACGGAAAGACCCCGUGGAGCUUUACUGCAGCCUGAUAUUGAAUGUUGGUACAGCUUGUACAGGAUAGGUAGGAGCCUUGGAAACCGGAGCGCCAGCUUCGGUGGAGGCAUCGGUGGGAUACUACCCUGGCUGUAUUGACCUUCUAACCCGCCGCCCUUAUCGGGCGGGGAGACAGUGUCAGGUGGGCAGUUUGACUGGGGCGGUCGCCUCCUAAAAGGUAACGGAGGCGCCCAAAGGUUCCCUCAGAAUGGUUGGAAAUCAUUCGCAGAGUGUAAAGGCACAAGGGAGCUUGACUGCGAGACCUACAAGUCGAGCAGGGACGAAAGUCGGGCUUAGUGAUCCGGUGGUUCCGCAUGGAAGGGCCAUCGCUCAACGGAUAAAAGCUACCCCGGGAUAACAGGCUUAUCUCCCCCAAGAGUCCACAUCGACGGGGAGGUUUGGCACCUCGAUGUCGGCUCAUCGCAUCCUGGGGCUGUAGUCGGUCCCAAGGGUUGGGCUGUUCGCCCAUUAAAGCGGUACGCGAGCUGGGUUCAGAACGUCGUGAGACAGUUCGGUCCCUAUCCGUCGCGGGCGCAGGAAAUUUGAGAGGAGCUGUCCUUAGUACGAGAGGACCGGGAUGGACGCACCGCUGGUGUACCAGUUGUUCUGCCAAGGGCAUCGCUGGGUAGCUAUGUGCGGACGGGAUAAGUGCUGAAAGCAUCUAAGCAUGAAGCCCCCCUCAAGAUGAGAUUUCCCAUUCCGCAAGGAAGUAAGAUCCCUGAAAGAUGAUCAGGUUGAUAGGUCUGAGGUGGAAGUGUGGCGACACAUGGAGCUGACAGAUACUAAUCGAUCGAGGACUUAACCAA